rnacentral:rRNA from 1 species
CCUACGGGUGGCAGCAGUGGGGAAUAUUGCGCAAUGGGCGAAAGCCUGACGCAGCGACGCCGCGUGAGGGAUGAAGGUCUUCGGAUCGUAAACCUCUGUCAGCAGGGAAGAACGGUCACUGUGCUAAUCAGCAGUGAAUUGACGGUACCUGCAAAGGAAGCAUCGGCUAACUCCGUGCCAGCAGCCGCGGUAAUACGGAGGAUGCGAGCGUUAUCCGGAUUUAUUGGGUUUAAAGGGUGCGUAGGCGGGUUAUCAAGUCAGCGGUAAAAUCGUGGAGCUCAACUCCAUCCAGCCGUUGAAACUGAUGAUCUUGAGUGGGCGAGAAGUAUGCGGAAUGCGUGGUGUAGCGGUGAAAUGCAUAGAUAUCACGCAGAACUCCGAUUGCGAAGGCAGCAUACCGGCGCCCGACUGACGCUGAAGCACGAAAGCGUGGGUAUCGAACAGGAUUAGAUACCCUAGUAGUC